GGCGAUAUAGCCAAGUGGUAAGGCUGAAGAUUGCAAAUCUUUGAACCCCCGGUUCGACUCUGGGUAUCGCCU
rnacentral:tRNA from 1 species